UUAAUACUCCGUCCGUCCAGAAAUACUUGUCGGAGGAAUGGAUGUAUCUAGACGUAUUUUAGUUUUAGAUGCAUCCAUUUAUAUCCAUUCAUGCGACAAGUAUUUCCGGACGGAGGGAGUAUUUG
rfam:Triticum aestivum genome assembly, contig: Triticum_aestivum_CS42_TGACv1_scaffold_145899_2BS